AUCGGCUCACGUUUUGUAGAUUUUUUAUUCUCCUCUGUCCACCUCAACACGAUGGCUUCAAGACGGACGAGAUCCUCCACGACACAGCCGCCGAGCACACGUCUGGCGGCGAUGGCGAGGAGAGAGCUCCUCCACGGCACAGCCGCCGACCUCGCGUAUGGCGGCAAUGGCGAGGAGAUGCUCUGCCUCGACGUUCACCUUCUGUCCACACCGAUCCCGCCACCCAUAUCCUCCCUUUUGCCUCCACUGACCGCCACAAUCCCGUGCCUCCGAAUCCCACUUCAUCGCUGGAUUUGUAGGACAAGGACGAGUUGGAGGGGAUUUCCAUCACGGAGCUCCAAAAUCUGACGCGUCCUCCACCACGUCAGAUCCCUCUGUCGCGGACGCAGCCCAGGCGGCGCCGGCCGAGCUCCUUUCGUGCGUUUUCCAUCAAGAUCGCCUGCAUCAGCUUUGAUUCAAGUCGAGCAUACUUUGGAUUGGCGGAUGAUGCUGAUGAUGAUGACCAAAAUCGACCAGCACGUUAGUGCUCUCCAGCAAUAUUAUUUUCCCCUUCUAUCAUCUGCUCCUUAGUCUAUGUGGGUAUGCAGAUGGAUGCGGAGUAAUAGAUGCCUGGACACGAUCUAGAGAACGACGACCAAGUUCAGCGGCCUGAUACAGCCAUCGGGCAGCAGCGGCGGCUGCUAUGGUCGUGCACCGCACCUUGAGGCCACGGAUCACCGGCGAGAUCAUGGUGUCAGCGACAAAUUGCCUACUCACCAUACCACCAGGCGGAACCCUUUGUGGUUUCUGCCGUGAAGAUGGAGCUGGAAGUGGCUAUCAAGUCACCCAUCUUCAAGGUAAUAAUCAGUCGAUUUGAUUUGCCCACAAAGAGUUGUUUGUUGAUUAUCAUUAUCAUGUGUUUCCAUUUAUAUUGUCAUAUAGAUGAAGUCACGAAGGUAUUGAGUGAUCUGCUUGUGUGUUUUGUGAUUUUGGAAGAUCUUGCUGCAAUCCAAGUAUUGCACCAUAGUUCAAUCUUUAUGCCCAUUCUUUUUCUCUGUGUUCACCGUUGAUUAACUUUUUUAUGAUGUAGACUCAUACCAUUUUUUCUACUCACUCUGGUUCGCUGGGAUGUAGUUAUGGGCAAACUUUUGCCUAUAAUUUUCCUUUUUUGCAUUUAUUUAUGUCUUGGUAUGUACUUAAGCCAGGUGUCAUGUUGUUCCUGCUUCUUUUGUUUCUUUCUACAUAAAAUUUUAUUAGAAUUGUCUAAAUAUUGGAUCUGUUGAUGCAAGAACAAUGGAGAGAAAUUGUUUAGGAUCGAUGAACUUGAACGGGACAGUGUGCUAUUGCAACUGGAGGAGGAUUGCCUCAACGCAGGAAUAAAGCGGAACAGACUAGAAAGAAAAAAGGCAAACCUACUUCAAGCCAUAUCUUUGAGUGAAGGUCAUAUAAUAAAACAUUUCUGCUAUGUUAUAGCGUGAAUCCUUUGCUAGGGUCAGCAAAUCUUUUUUUGCUGUUUCUGAUAGAAUGUCAUUUCAAAUGCAUGUUUUGCAAUGAGAAGAUGAUGAACCUGAAUGUAUUAGAGAGAUGUACUAUAAAAAGGAAGAAGAAAAUAAAUGAUAAUUAGUAAACCAGAGAGUUGGGGCUUACUAAUUAGUUUGGUAAGAACUCAAGAUAUUUCUCAUCCUCUGCAUCUUUCUAAUCCAAAACACUAUGUCCAUGAUUACAUACACACAUGCACCAUUCUUUUCGAUAAAAACAUUGAAAACUAAAAGACAGUUCUUUGUCAUGAUCUGCAGCUUCACAGUAUUCUUGAUGGGAUUAAUUUUAGGUCUUAGACCCAAAGUAUUACUUAUGAGUUCCUUCUGUUACAAGUGCUUGCAUCGGCGCUUCAGACUCCUCCAAAUCGUCGAUAAGCGGUGGCGGCCUCCAAAAUUUGGGAGGAGGAGCAGGAGCUAGACGUCGGGCCAAAAAGAGAAAGGGAAUCCCAUUGUUCUGCUUGCUGCGCUGUGGUCUGAUGAGACAACAAGUACACCAGCGCCCAUUCCGACCCGGUGUCAUCAGCGACAGCGUGGUGCACCGCCGUCUGCCAGAGCAUGAAGCUCCUGCAUCCACUGAAGUUAAUCCUCUAAUCAGCCUUGAAAGCUGGAAAGAAUAAAGACCAAAUUUGGUGACAGGCUUGCCAAGAAACAGAGUAACUAAUGUAUAUUAUGAUUAUUCAAGAAUGAAA